rnacentral:rRNA from 1 species
CCUACGGGAGGCAGCAGUGGGGAAUAUUGGGCAAUGGGCGCAAGCCUGACCCAGCAACGCCGCGUGAAGGAAGAAGGCUUUCGGGUUGUAAACUUCUUUUGUCAGGGACGAGUAGAAGACGGUACCUGACGAAUAAGCCACGGCUAACUACGUGCCAGCAGCCGCGGUAAAACGUAGGUGGCAAGCGUUGUCCGGGUUUACUGGGUGUAAAGGGCGUGUAGCCGGGUUGACAAGUCAGAUGUGAAAGCCUGCGGCUUAACCCCAGAACUGCAUUUGAAACUGUUGAUCUAGAGUACUGGAGAGGCAGGUGGAAUUCCUGGUGUAGCGGUGAAAUGCGUAGAUAUUAGGAGGAACACCGGUGGCGAAGGCGGUCUGCUGGACAGCAACUGACGGUGAGGCGCGAAAGCGUGGGGAGCAAACAGGAUUAGAUACCCGUGUAGUC